GGGGAGAUGGCUCAGUGGUUAAGAGCAUUGUCUGUUCUUCCAAAGAACUGAGGUUCAAUUCCUAGCAUCCACA
rnacentral:tRNA from 1 species